GUGAGGUCUCAGAUCACAGAUUUAGAAAACAAGAUAUUUUAGGACCCUGCCUCACAUUCCCUCACCCCAAGAAUCAGAGGAGGUGGAAGUGAGGAGAGGAAAGAGGAGAUAGGAGGAGAGAAGAAGGGAGAUAGAAGGAGAGAGGAGGAGAGAGAGAGAGAGGAGGAGGAGACAGGAGAGAGGAAGUUCAUGUCGUUUCCAUGCAGAAAUGAAGCAGGCAGAAACAGUCCAGUCAUUAGUAUGGUACUUUAGUUCACAUAGUUACAGUAUUCAUCAUCAUUAUAGUCAUCACUUCAUAAAUAAAUGUUAUUGAUUUCAGUUAGGAAUGGCAGCGCAUAUACAAGAUUCAACAAAAUAAGAAGCUCAGGCCUCAGCGUCAUCCAGGACACAACCGUAGCCGACAAGAUCUGAAUCCAAAAUAACAUGUAAAGACAAUCCACUGCUCAAGUUACAUAAAA